GAUGAACGCUGGCGGCGUGCCUAAUACAUGCAAGUCGAGCGAAUGGAUUAAGAGCUUGCUCUUAUGAAGUUAGCGGCGGACGGGUGAGUAACACGUGGGUAACCUGCCCAUAAGACUGGGAUAACUCCGGGAAACCGGGGCUAAUACCGGAUAAUAUUUUGAACUGCAUGGUUCAAAAUUGAAAGGCGGCUUCGGCUGGCGCUUAUGGAUGGACACGCGUCGCAUUAGCUAGUUGUUGAGGUAACGGCUAACCAAGGCAACGAGGCGUAGCCGACCUGAGAGGGUGAUCGGCCACACUGGGACUGAGACACGGCCCAGACUCCUACGGGAGGCAGCAGUAGGGAAUCUUCCGCAACGGACGAAGGUCUGACGGAGCAACGCCGCGUGAGUGAUGAAGGCUUUCGGGUCGUAAAACUCUGUUGUUAGGGAAGAACAAGUGCUAGUUGAAUAAGCUGGCACCUUGACGGUACCUAACCAGAAAGCCACGGCUAACUACGUGCCAGCAGCCGCAGUAA
rnacentral:rRNA from 1 species